rnacentral:rRNA from 1 species
AAUCAACGCUGGCGGCGUGCCUCAGACAUGCAAGUCGAACGCGAAAGGCUCCUUCGGGGGCCGAGUAGAGUGGCGCACGGGUGAGUAACACGUAGGUAAUUUGCCUUUGGGUGGGGAAUAACUCAGGGAAACUUGAGCUAAUACCGCAUAAAUGCAGCGGCUCGACAUCGAGACAGUUGUUAAAGCGGGGGAUCGCAAGACCUCGCGCCUGAAGAGAAGCCUGCGGCAGAUUAGCUAGUUGGUAGGGUAAUGGCCUACCAAGGCGACGAUCUGUAACCGGCCUGAGAGGGCGGUCGGUCACACUGACACUGACA